rnacentral:rRNA from 1 species
UACAGAGGUCUCAAGCGUUGUUCGGAUUCAUUGGGCGUAAAGGGUGCGUAGGUGGCGCUGUAAGUCGGGUGUGAAAUUUCGGAGCUUAACUCCGAAACUGCAUUCGAUACUGCGGUGCUUGAGGACUGGAGAGGAGACUGGAAUUCAUGGUGUAGCAGUGAAAUGCGUAGAGAUCAUGAGGAAGACCAGUGGCGAAGGCGGGUCUCUGGGCAGUAACUGACGCUGAGGAGCGAAAAGCUAGGGGAGCGAACAGG